rnacentral:rRNA from 1 species
CGAUUGUAGUCAUAUGCUUGUCUCAAAGAUUAAGCCAUGCAUGUCUAAGUAUAAGCAAUUAUACAGCGAAACUGCGAAUGGCUCAUUAUAUAAGUUAUAGUUUAUUUGAUAGUGCCUUACUACAUGGAUAACCGUGGUAAUUCUAGAGCUAAUACAUGCUGAAAGCCCCGACUCACGGAGGGGCGUAUUUAUUAGAUUAAAAACCAACGCCCUUCGGGGCUCACUGGUGAUUCAUGAUAACUUCUCGAAUCGCACGGCCUCGCGCCGGCGAUGGUUCAUUCAAAUUUCUUCCCUAUCAACUUUCGAUGUUUGGGUAGUGGCCAAACAUGGUGGCAACGGGUAACGGAGGGUUAGGGCUCGACCCCGGAGAAGGAGCCUGAGAAACGGCUCCUACAUCCAAGGAAGGCAGCAGGCGCGCAAAUUACCCAAUCCCGAUACGGGGAGGUAGUGACAAUAAAUACUGAUGCAGGGCUCUUUAGGGUCUUGCAAUUGGAAUGAGUACAAUUUAAAUCCCUUAACGAGGAACAAUUGGAGGGCAAGUCUGGA